CGGGGAGUAGCUCAGUUGGUAGAGCACAUGUCUGAAGAACAUGGUGUCGGUGGUUCAAUUCCACCCUCUUCGA
rnacentral:tRNA from 1 species